GCUUGGAAGCAGCCAUUCAUUUAAAGAGUGCGUAACAGCUCACUAGUCGAGGAGUCUGGCGUGGAUAAUAAUCGGGUAUUAAGUUGUCUACCGAAGCAGUGGGAUCAUUAAUAUGAUCGGUAGGGGAGCAUUCCAGUCAGCGUCGAAGGCGUACCGUGAGGUAUUCUGGAGCGUCUGGAAAAGCAAAUGUAGGUAUAAGUAACGAUAAAGGGGGCGGGAAACCCCCUCGCCGAAAGACUAAGGUUUCCUGAUCAACGCUAAUCGGAUCAGGGUUAGUCGGGGCCUAAGGAUAAGCCUAACGGCGAUUCCGAUGGAAGAACUGGUUAAUAUUCCAGUACUAAUAUAUUGAGUGAUGUGGAGACGGAGAAGUGACACUACUGCCGACUGACGGAAUAGUUGGUUAAAGGGUGUAGAUAAUUGGUUUGUAGGCAAAUCCGCAGACCGAGUCGAACCUGAAAGUACACUGCGUGCGUGCACAAGGUGAUAAUGUAGGUAAGCCAGCUCCCAAGAAAACCCGCUAAACAAUUGAUAUAUUACCCGUACCACAAACCGACACAGGUGGUUGGGUUGAGUAUACUAAGGCGCUCGAGAGAUUCGCGGUUAAGGAACUAGGCAAAAUGGUCCUGUAACUUCGGGAGAAAGGACGCCAGUGGCGACACUGGCCGCAGAGCAUAGGCCCAUGCGACUGUUUAACAAAAACAUAUGGCUGUGCAAAAUAGAAAUAUCACGUAUACAGCCUGACACCUGCCCGGUGCUGGAAGGUUAAGAGGAGAUGUCAUCGCAAGAGAAGCAUUGAAUUGAAGCCCCAGUAAACGGCGGCCGUAACUAUAACGGUCCUAAGGUAGCGAAAUUCCUUGUCGGGUAAGUUCCGACCUGCACGAAUGGUGUAACGAUGUGGGCACUGUCUCAACCGCGAUCUCGGUGAAAUUGUAGUAUCGGUGAAGAUGCCGAUUACCCGCAACGGGACGAAAAGACCCCGUGAACCUUUACUAUAGCUUUACAUUGUACUUGGGUAUCAGAUGUGUAGGAUAGGCCGGAGACUGAGAUUGGGGCACGCCAGUGCUUCAGGAGUCGCUGUUGAAAUACGGCCCUUUUGAUGUUUGGGUACUAACUUGCUAAGAGCAAGGACACUGUAUGGUGGGUAGUUUGACUGGGGUGGUCGCCUCCAAAAGCGUAACGGAGGCUUCUAA
rnacentral:rRNA from 1 species